AUGGUUGAUUUUCCAUUUGUCCUGGGGGAGGAGCAAGACUACCUCGAUAUCCCUCAGAACUUUAGGGAGGACGAAAUCAUCGCCACUUCAAUCGGUGUCGUUUUGAUUCCUUGCUCAAUAACUGUCACUGACUUGGUCAGAUUCAAUUCAACUUUGCUGCAGAUAUUGGAGAUUGAUAUGAUGUCUCUGCACCUACCCAUCCCCAUACAGUACUGA